CCACUUCCCUUCGGGACUGAACGCGAGCUCCCUCACCUGUUCUGAAUUGCCAAUCAUGAAGCGAGCUUCGCCAGUCGGACGGAGCUGGAUCGAUAUAACGCCUAAGAUGGGACUUUCAUAGAAGUUACUGUGUAAGUGUUGCGAUCUGGUCUCAUAUCUGCGAAGGUCGUGUCUACCAAAACGGCAGGAAGCAGCUCACAGGGUUCCCACUCCUGUGUAUCCACUCGCACACAUGGAGAUGUCAUCUCUGCAAGAAGAAAAAGAAGAGGAGACAACUUGACAGUAUACGCAGGUGGGCUUUAAAAUAAACCAUUUGAAUCAUGCAAUAUGAUUUACCUUUCUAUUUUUCUAUGUCCCACUCUCCUUUGUGGAGGGAGUCCGGUCCGAUCCGGUGGCCAUGUACUGCUCGCCUGUGUAUCGGCUGGGGACAUCUCUGCGCUGCUGAUCAGCCUCCUCUUGGGAUGGUUUCCUGCUGGCUCCGCUGUGAACGGGACUCUCGCUGCUGUGUUGGAUCCGCUUUGGACUGGACUCUCGCGACUGUGUUGGAUCCAUUAUGGAUUGAUCUUUCACAGUAUCAUGUUUUCAUAGUCAUCAUUGUCACCGACGUCCCACUGGGUCAUUAUUGUCACCGAUGUCCCACUGGGUGUGAGUUUUCCUUGCCCUUAUGUGGGCCUACCGAGGAUGUCGUAGUGGUUUGUGCAGCCCUUUGAGACACUAGUGAUUUAGGGCUAUAUAAGUAAACAUUGAUUGAUUGAUUGAUUACCAGCACAUUGUGACAUUUGUUAAAAACGUGGAACCGAACACAAAACUGUUCCGCUUUAACCACAAAAUGUCAACGAGAUCUUUAAAUCUUUGUGACUGGGAGACAAGUCGAGCAAUAAUAUGGGACUCGGCAGUAUUGUAAGCGCUUUUAUGCUGCAUAUUUAUCAUAUUAACUUCAUAAUAGAUGAUGCCUCUCUAAAAAUAGACAUGGCAGCCUGCUGGUGUAUUUGUGUGAACCUUUAUUUAUCCAGCUAAAAGCAGCAGGACACUCAGACUGGACGUGUCGCCUGACUUCAAGAGCUGCAUUUAGCUGCUUGUUCUGCACUGUGUGCACCGCCAGUGUAGACUUUGAACCCAGAUAAAUAAUCAGGGCAGUCCAGAGUCCUGCUGAAUGCUGACAAUGUGGAGAAUGACUCAGCGAUUCUGUGCAGGCACUGGCUGUGCAAACAUCCAUCACGCCAACACAAAGAUCCAACAAAGAUACCCCUUGACAAUUACGGCUAUAACGCACACACAGUUGGAAACAUACAGUAGGAACAUCUUCUCUUCUCUCCACCCAGGAAUUGGUCAUAUGAAUCCCUUCCCUACUGUAAUGUAAAAUACAUACAUUAAUAAAUUGAUACAGCAUCA